GUGGCGGGGGAGGGAGAAAGGAAUUGCGCAAGUCACGGAACAGCCAUUGCCCCAGCGUCUUUCGUUGUGACGGUCGGUUUUUUUAUUUACUUAGAUCCUGUCCAUAAUUUAACUGUAAACUAGUACAAGUGUAUAGUAUAAGUGUGCUUAAAAACUUGUCUGUUUUGUGAGCAUGGACGAAGACCUAAGAAACCAUCUAAUAACGUGGAACCUGGAGGAAUAUACGGAAAUUUUCGAAAGUGCAGCCACUACUCUAAAAGUAUAACCAAAUCCCUCGUGGGGGGCAGUCUUGUUAACCUAGCCUGCUGGACCCUUUAAUUCAUACUGUUCUUGAUAUACUUUAAAUAAUUUGAAGAUGCUUUAUAAUUAUCAUUAUUUAGAAAACCAAUAAUAAAGCGUUUGAUUUUA